AUGUGAUAGUUGAGAGUAAAUGGUUCAGUAUCAUUUGGAUAAAUAGCGGCCAAGUAAUUUGCAGUUGCUGGUCUAGUUAUUUGUUCUAAUGAACUUGCAGUGUAAAGAAUUUUGGAUAAUUUAUUGGAACUUGUUACGGAAUUUGUUUUAUAACAAAAUGCACAGAACAGCCACUAUACAUUUGUUUCUCAGCAUUUUUCCUUGGAACUGGAUGACCCAUGGGACUUUUAGAAGAUAAGCAGUGAGCACUGGGGGAAAAUCUUGGCUCCUGCAGAAACAGGAAAAAGUAUGGAUGCCUUCAUACUUUUUCAGCUUUCUUUGGGGAUAAGGUUGGUGUAUUUCUGGUUCAUUUUAAGGAAUUUGUUUCUCCACUUAUCACCCAAGAUGAAAUUCUCAGAAAUCCCCAACUGGAAAUAAUCAAAUAGUACUUGCUGUAGGAGUAAAGAACUAAGGUUAAUCUGUCUCUAAGCAGUAGCAGUAGUGGGGAAAAUAAUAUGAGAUUCUUUUGAAAAGCAGUUUUCAGACUCUAAUUAAACUAUAUAUAUGCUUGUUUAGGGCCAUUUUCAGAGUAGGAGCCAAUUAGUAUAUAAAUCAAUCACCCAUUGGUAUGUAGCAGCUAUAACAAUUCCAAAAGCAGAAUUUAUUACCACAGUAACCCAGGAGUUUCGAGUAGUAACAGGAGUCUCAAACUCAGAUGUCUCUAAGAAUCAGGUAAACAUUUUAAUAGACCAGCCUGGGUUCUGAGAGGAUCCUGUGAAAUAAACUUUAUGUGAAUUCUUUCAGUCUUGAAAUGUUGAUCAUUAACAAAAUAUUUUAAAAUGUGGGUCGAAGAAAAACAGCACAUUGAAAUCUCUGAGAAAUUUCAUAAGGACAAAACCAAAAAAACUCUGCCUGAGUCCACUCCAUAGAAAUUAUGAUUUAAUUGCUUUGGAUUGUGUCCUGAGCAUCAGUAAUUUUUAAAAAGCCUUGUCUUCAAGGCAAAAGCCCAACUCUGAUGAUUAUGCAGUGCAGUUUGAGACCUGCAGGCAAGGUUAAGACUACUGAUCUAGAUACUUGUGUGUUUAAAGAGGAGGAUAGCUGAGCACUCUAGGUCAUAAGGGACAAGAUGUGGCUUUUGGGGGCUUACCCCUGAGGAUUGGGAGGUGGAUCUUGGAGAUCAUGUUUGUCUGACUGUAUGUAGGUCACAGGUAUCUUUGACAAUACCAAAAUGCCCUGAAAGUUUUCUUUUUUAAAUAAAUGUAAAGAAUUAGUAUAUAAUAGAUAAUUAUGGACUAAUUUGUGUAGUGUUUACUAAAUGUUUCCUGUCCAUUUAUUUUAAACUCAAAAUCCCAUUAGACAGUUACCACCUCCAUUUUAUAAAUAAGGAAAUAGCUCAAAUAAGGUCAUUUUUUGAGGUCUUCCUUUUGUAAGUGGCAGAAUGAAGAUUCAAACCUAAGUUCCUUCAGUCAGCACUCAUGGUGUUGGGCACUCUUCUAGAUGCUGGAGGAACAGCAGUCAACAAAGGGGUCUGAAGCACAACCCUGAUUCUACAUAGAGACCAGUGUGUUGCCUAAGGUCACCCAGCCAGUUAGUGGCAGAUCUGCAGGCACAUUUUGAUUACUACAUUAUAUUUUCAUCACACUAGCUGCUGUUCAAACAACCUUAUUAAAAGUAUCUGUUGAAAUGAUACAGCCUGAUUAGAGGACUCUCAGCCUUAAGAGACUCAGUGACCAGUUCUUUGACUCUUUUCUGUACAAAACAUGUCUCUUUCUGCUGUUGACCUCAGAUACUCUAAGAAGGACCCAAAGUAUGCCUUUUUCUCCCUCAUAUUUCAGAGCCACAGUAGUAUAUUAAUGAGUUUAGAAGCAAGCCUCAUAUUUCCAAGCCAUUCUUAUUUUGAGCCGAUGAUGUGACUUUGUAUGCACAAGGUAACAUUUCCAGAUGUACUGUCCUUAUUUAGCAUCUGUAUAACCCUCCUCACUGACUCCAUCUAUAUAAAAUUUGGAUAUUUGCUUUUCAAGUUGCACGCUUUUUUUUUUUUUUUUUUUUUUUUUUUUUUGCCAUCUGACUGACCACCACAUCAGUGACCUGAGCCGCUGCAGUGAAAAUGCUGGAUUCUUAACCCACUGAGCCACCAGGGAACUCCUCAAUCUGCGUGCUUUCUGUCAUGGAGUAUUCAAGUUCCUUUCAGGGUGGGAAUUUGGAAGGUAUGAGUAACUAUAGUAGAUAGCUAAUUCUCCAGAAGUCUCUUUAGAAUGAAAACUUGCUUCUGUAAAUUUUAUUUUUGCUUUUUUAGGGCCAUACCUGCGGCAUGUGGAGGUUCCGAGGCUAGGGGUCAAAUCGCGGCUACAGCUGCGGGCCUACACCACAGCCACAGCAACAAGGGACCUGAGCUGUGUCUGUGACCUACAUGACAGCUCGUGGCAACGCCAGAACCUUAACCUACUGAGCGAGGCCAGGAAUCGAACCUGCAUCCUCAUGAAUACCAGUUGGGUUCAUUAACCAUUGAGCCAUGACAGGAACUCCGCUUCUAAAGAUUUUAGAUUUUCUUCUGAUGGUUAAAAUUGGUUUCUAUGUGCAAAACGACAAAGUCGUGCCCUAGAAACCACUUCAGUGCAUGUUAAAUGGCAAUUUCUUAGAAUCGUGAAUCAGGGCAGUCAGGAUCUGGUUCUCUGGAAUCAACCGGCAAAGCUGGGAUUCCUAAGGAGUGAGCAAACACACACAGUCCUAAGUUUUCUAAGGGACCCUAUCCAAAAACAUCACUACUUACUAAAUUGUCCAACUUCCUCUUGCAGGGAGACUCCCUGUGUGUACUCUGACCUCUGUAGGUCACAUCCUUUUUUCAUAGUAAGUGCAGCAUAAAAUGAUAACCAGAUUUUAUGGAGCACUUCAUGUGGGCCUGUGUGGGCAGUAGACAUUCUUAAUGGAAUGCUCUAAAAUUGUAAGUUCUUGCACCUACUCUCAAGUCAUUUAUAACCUAAUUGCUGGUCUUCCUGGUAUGAACAAAAUUGUUGCUUGUUAAUAAAUUCCUAC
rnacentral:lncRNA from 1 species